UUGAACGCUGGCGGCAGGCCUAACACAUGCAAGUCGAACGGUAACAGGAAGCAGCUUGCUGCUUCGCUGACGAGUGGCGGACGGGUGAGUAAUGUCUGGGAAACUGCCUGAUGGAGGGGGAUAACUACUGGAAACGGUAGCUAAUACCGCAUAAUGUCGCAAGACCAAAGAGGGGGACCUUCGGGCCUCUUGCCAUCGGAUGUGCCCAGAUGGGAUUAGCUUGUUGGUGGGGUAACGGCUCACCAAGGCGACGAUCCCUAGCUGGUCUGAGAGGAUGACCAGCCACACUGGAACUGAGACACGGUCCAGACUCCUACGGGAGGCAGCAGUGGGGAAUAUUGCACAAUGGGCGCAAGCCUGAUGCAGCCAUGCCGCGUGUAUGAAGAAGGCCUUCGGGUUGUAAAGUACUUUCAGCGGGGAGGAAGGGAGUAAAGUUAAUACCUUUGCUCAUUGACGUUACCCGCAGAAGAAGCACCGGCUAACUCCGUGCCAGCAGCCGCGGUAAUACGGAGGGUGCAAGCGUUAAUCGGAAUUACUGGGCGUAAAGCGCACGCAGGCGGUUUGUUAAGUCAGAUGUGAAAUCCCCGGGCUCAACCUGGGAACUGCAUCUGAUACUGGCAAGCUUGAGUCUCGUAGAGGGGGGUAGAAUUCCUGGUGUAGCGGUGAAAUGCGUAGAGAUCUGGAGGAAUACCGGUGGCGAAGGCGGCCCCCUGGACGAAGACUGACGCUCAGGUGCGAAAGCGUGGGGAGCAAACAGGAUUAGAUACCCUGGUAGUCCACGCCGUAAACGAUGUCGACUUGGAGGUUGUGCCCUUGAGGCGUGGCUUCCGGAGCUAACGCGUUAAGUCGACCGCCUGGGGAGUACGGCCGCAAGGUUAAAACUCAAAUGAAUUGACGGGGGCCCGCACAAGCGGUGGAGCAUGUGGUUUAAUUCGAUGCAACGCGAAGAACCUUACCUGGUCUUGACAUCCACGGAAGUUUUCAGAGAUGAGAAUGUGCCUUCGGGAACCGUGAGACAGGUGCUGCAUGGCUGUCGUCAGCUCGUGUUGUGAAAUGUUGGGUUAAGUCCCGCAACGAGCGCAACCCUUAUCCUUUGUUGCCAGCGGUCCGGCCGGGAACUCAAAGGAGACUGCCAGUGAUAAACUGGAGGAAGGUGGGGAUGACGUCAAGUCAUCAUGGCCCUUACGACCAGGGCUACACACGUGCUACAAUGGCGCAUACAAAGAGAAGCGACCUCGCGAGAGCAAGCGGACCUCAUAAAGUGCGUCGUAGUCCGGAUUGGAGUCUGCAACUCGACUCCAUGAAGUCGGAAUCGCUAGUAAUCGUGGAUCAGAAUGCCACGGUGAAUACGUUCCCGGGCCUUGUACACACCGCCCGUCACACCAUGGGAGUGGGUUGCAAAAGAAGUAGGUAGCUUAACCUUCGGGAGGGCGCUUACCACUUUGUGAUUCAUGACUGGGGUG
rnacentral:rRNA from 1 species